AGGAGCCGAAUGAAACCAAAGUUUCAUGUUCGGUUUUGAAUUAGAGACGUUAAAAAGAAUGAAUUAACGUCGACUAUAAC
rfam:Amborella trichopoda AMTR_V1.0_contig_36593, whole genome shotgun sequence.